AGUGAACGCUGGCGGUAGGCCUAACACAUGCAAGUCGAACGGCAGCACAGUAAGAGCUUGCUCUUACGGGUGGCGAGUGGCGGACGGGUGAGGAAUACAUCGGAAUCUACUUUUUCGUGGGGGAUAACGUAGGGAAACUUACGCUAAUACCGCAUACGACCUACGGGUGAAAGCAGGGGAUCUUCGGACCUUGCGCGAUUGAAUGAGCCGAUGUCGGAUUAGCUAGUUGGCGGGGUAAAGGCCCACCAAGGCGACGAUCCGUAGCUGGUCUGAGAGGAUGAUCAGCCACACUGGAACUGAGACACGGCCCAGACUCCUACGGGAGGCAGCAGUGGGGAAUAUUGGACAAGGGGCGCAAGCCUGAUCCAGCCAUACCGCGUGGGUGAAGAAGGCCUUCGGGUUGUAAAGCCCUUUUGUUGGGAAAGAAAAGCAGCAGGUUAAUACCCCGCUGUUCUGACGGUACCCAAAGAAUAAGCACCGGCUAACUUCGUG
rnacentral:rRNA from 1 species